ACUCCUACGGGAGGCAGCAGUGGGGAAUAUUGGACAAUGGGCGCAAGCCUGAUCCAGCCAUGCCGCGUGAGUGAUGAAGGCCCUAGGGUUGUAAAGCUCUUUCACCGGUGAAGAUAAUGACGGUAACCGGAGAAGAAGCCCCGGCUAACUUCGUGCCAGCAGCCGCGGUAAUACGAAGGGGGCUAGCGUUGUUCGGAUUUACUGGGCGUAAAGCGCACGUAGGCGGACUAUUAAGUCAGGGGUGAAAUCCCGGGGCUCAACCCCGGAACUGCCUUUGAUACUGGUAGUCUUGAGUUCGAGAGAGGUGAGUGGAAUUCCGAGUGUAGAGUUGAAAUUCGUAGAUAUUCGGAGGAACACCAGUGGCGAAGGCGGCUCACUGGCUCGAUACUGACGCUGAGGUGCGAAAGCGUGGGGAGCAAACAGGAUUAGAAACCCCAGUAGUCCCAUGAU
rnacentral:rRNA from 1 species